rnacentral:rRNA from 1 species
UACGUAGGGUGCGAGCGUUAAUCGGAAUUACUGGGCGUAAAGCGUGCGCAGGCGGUUUUGUAAGUCAGAUGUGAAAUCCCCGGGCUCAACCUGGGAACUGCAUUUGAAACUGGCGGCUUGAGUAUGGCAGAGGGGGUGGAAUUCCGCGUGUAGCAGUGAAAUGCGUAGAGAUGCGGAGGAACACCGAUGGCGAAGGCAGCCCCCUGGGCCAAUACUGACGCUCAGGCACGAAAGCGUGGGGAGCAAACAGG